rnacentral:rRNA from 1 species
GGUGAACGCUGGCGGCGUGCUUAACACAUGCAAGUCGAACGGUGAAGGCGUAUCUUGCUCUGCUGGAUCAGGGGCGAACGGGUGAGUAACACGUUAGCAAUCUGCCCCUGACUCUGUGAUAAGCGCUAGAAACGUCGGCUAAGACUUGAUACGAUCUGCGAAGGCAUCUUCAGCAGCUGGAAAUAACUUCGGUCAGGGAUGAGCUCGCGGCCGAUCAGCUUGUUGGUGAGGUAACGGCUCACCAAGGCGUCGACGGGUAGCCGGCCUGAGAGGGUGACCGGCCACACUGGGACUGAGACAAGGCCCAGACUCCUCAGGGAGGCAGAAGUGGGGAAUAUUGCACAAUGGGCGACAGCGUGAUGCAGCAACGCCGCGUGAGGGACGACGGCUGUCGGGUUGUAAACCUCUUUUAGCAGGGAAGAAGCGAAAGUGACGGUACCUGCAGAAAAAGCGCCGGCUAACUACGUG